UAAGAACCACUUUUCCUGGUUCGGAGCCGGUGCUUUGGCGGUCGAAACAGAAAGAACUGGUUCUAAAUUAGGCUCUGGCUCCGAACCAGCACUCAAACUGCCUCGGUGGAAAAGGGGCAUGAGUCAGCCACUGAAGAGCUACCUCUCAGUGCCGGAUCCAAGCCCGCUGAAAAUUGGAGGGUUGUGUCAGUAAAUGAAAUCUGCAUCUCCAUAAAGUUGGUCAGCAGCAGGAAGCAUGAAGUGCUCUAAAACUUCCUGGUAUAAAGCUGCAUUGCCCUUGGACCUCAGAAAACACAGUGGACCAACACCAGCAGAUGACAUGGUACCCCAAACCAUCACUGACUGUGGAAACUUUUCACUGGACCUCAAGCAAUGUGGAUUGUGUGUCUCUCAUCUCUUACUCCAGACUCUGGGACCCCGAUUUCCAAAGGAAAUGCAAAAUUACACAAUGGUUUGGAAUAUCAGGGCAUUCAUACCUUCCAUUGUCAUAUCUUUUCAAAAUCAACAUGUUUUUGAAUAUUGUUUCCUUGUCCCAUCUUGACUGUCGCUUUUUUUAAUUAAUCAUUUGAUUUACAUACUUACAUACUUAUCAGAAUCAGAAUCAGAAACAGAUUUAUUGGACAAGUGUGUUGACACACACAAGGAAUUUGGUUCCAGCAGUUUGUGACUCUCAAAGGUGGCCCAGAAAUUCUGCCACACAGCUGGCUGAUUGGAGAGAAGCUUCUAUGGCCACCAUAUUCACCCAAAGACACAGCUAAGGUAGUUUAAGAAUAUGAGCUGUCCACUGAGGGAUGGUUGACAUGAAGCUGUUAGACACCUUGUAAGUCUAGAUGAAAAGGAUUCUGCGAGACAAUUAAUAUAACUUUCCAAGUUGAUUGGAACUGUCACAGAACUUUCAGACAGUGUUUGCCUUCUUCUAAGCAGCCACGUUUCCCUGUCUCAGUCCCUCUGCAUCAUACCUAUGAGCUUGAGAGUGCUGAGGAGAUUUCACAAUCUAAUAAAGCAAGGCAAAUAAUGCAUUGUUGUCGCCACCUACAGCAAGAGAGUGCCUUUCUGCAUGUUCUGGCAGCGGCAGUGCUCACAUAUGAGCUGUGGUGUUGGGGUGCAAAUACGUUGGAUGUCCUCUAGCUUAGCGAUGCCGGGAUUCCAUUUUGGAGAUGCACCCAUUUUGAUUGUGUUUUCUUGCAUCUGAAUGAUUUAUAUGCUAUCUAAAAUAAAGUAUUUGUAAAUACAA